GAAGACUUCAUGUGGCUGCACACACGUCAAUGGCCAGUACUACGAGCCUGGCGACGAGUUCUACGCGGAGGACUGUAGGCUGAAGUGCAGGUGUAAUGCUCCCUUCGUCACCUGCAAAGCUACGGAAUGUCCCCCAAUGCAAGAGUGUAAAAACCAGGACGGAGAGCUGGGCUGCUACCCCACAGGCCCAACCACACCAAAACCAUCCACUCCCGGCCCAACUACACCCAAACCCACAACUCCUAGGCCAACUACUCCUGGACCAACAACACCAAAGCCACCAAAACCCUGCCCUCCCGAUUCAGAGUAUAUAGAAUGUGGUCCAGCUUGUAUCCCCACCUGUAUGGAGCCUUCUACCAACUGCUCUGGCUCCUGCAUCAGUGGCUGCUUCUGCAAACCAGGUUUUGUCUUCAAGGGACGGCACUGUGUCCCAUUGGAGAAAUGUGGCUGUCUGGAUG
ensembl:lncRNA